rnacentral:rRNA from 1 species
CCUACGGGGGGCUGCAGUGGGGAAUAUUGCACAAUGGGGGAAACCCUGAUGCAGCGACGCCGCGUGAGUGAAGAAGUAAUUCGUGAUGUAAAGCUCUAUCAGCAGGGAAGAAACAGACGGUACCCGAGUAAGAAGCCCCGGCUAACUACGUGCCAGCAGCCGCGGUAAUACGUAGGGGGCAAGCGUUAUCCGGAUUUACUGGGUGUAAAGGGAGCGUAGACGGCGAAGAAAGUCUGAAGUGAAAGCCCGCGGCUUAACCGCGGAACUGCUUUUGAAACUUUUUUGCUGGAGUACCGGAGAGGUCAGCGGCAUUCCUAGUGUAGCGGUGACCUGCGUAGCUCUUAGGAGGACCACCAGUGGCGAAGGCGGCUUACUGGACGGUACCUGCCGUUGCGGCUCGAAAGCGUGGGGAGCAAACAGGAUUAGCUACCCUUGUAGUC